rnacentral:rRNA from 1 species
CGGCGGACGGGUGAGUAACACGUGGAUAACCUACCUAUAAGACUGGGAUAACUUCGGGAAACCGGAGCUAAUACCGGAUAAUAUAUUGAACCGCAUGGUUCAAUAGUGAAAGACGGUUUUGCUGUCACUUAUAGAUGGAUCCGCGCCGCAUUAGCUAGUUGGUAAGGUAACGGCUUUCCAAGGCAACGAUGCGUAGCCGACCUGAGAGGGUGAUCGGCCACACUGGAACUGAGACACGGCCCAG